AGAUAGCACUAGGGGUGCCUUUCUGGCUGAGAGACAAGUAGCGAAUGCAUGCGCGAACGUUAACCCUUUACACCCGAUCUAGGUCAUACUAGCGUGGGGAAGUGCGGUGAAACGACU
rnacentral:ncRNA from 2 species